UAUUCUCUUCUCUGUACCUCUCUGUACAAAUGUAUUUUUUUAACGAGAGCUAUACAACUACUGCAUACCUCUGUUAGGUAAAAACGAGCCCAAGCCUACUGUCAUAAAUCUCGGGCAAACAUAAUCGGAUUAAAUCAUAAGCAACUGCUUCUAGGUUUUAUUAUUUAAGUACAGCUAUAAUAAAAAGCCCAGACUAAAGUAUUGGCGAUCUUCUCAAAAAUUCCAAAAGAUAGGUCCCAAUGUUCUUUCAUUUCCGACAUAUAAAUCUUUUUUUUUUAUUAUUUAGUUUUUACUUUACAAUUAGCUGAGUUAGAAGCUUAAUUGCAACAUUAACACGUGGAUGGCUACCCCCAGCGAGAUACCAUCCUCGAGUUUGUCUAUUUUAUUUCUUUAGCGAGGUCAGUAGGGUGUUUUCUCUUUAGUCUUCUUUUUAUCAGAGUGUUUUAUGUGUAUCAAAUAAGAAAGAAACGACGGACGGGAGACUAUCGUAUUAGGCGAAUAACGCGCCACGUAUCUUCUUGUAUUUUCCACUUGAAUUCGUAUCGCGUACGCGUAUCUUGGUGUCUAACUAGCCUAAAGCAAACCCUGGUGGGUAAACUAAAAGCUGGGAUGAUCCUGUCGGCGAGUGUUUGAAACUUCGCGUAAUGCGAUUAACGAGAGACGAGUUAUAUGUAUGCAACAACUUUCAGCGUUCUUGGAGAUUCAAUUAGCCAGGCUGGUUAUAGGCGCACGUGACGCACAUGGCGCACGUGCUGUGGCUGCGUAUCGAUCAACGCAUAUUCACAGAGCACGACAGAACCGCGACAGAUACGGUAGAAACACUCUGUACACCGUCUAUUUACGGAAUUGUCUACGCAGUGUUGGGCCACGCCGAGGACAACGCAAAUGGAUCGCGAUUCCGCUUCCAUUCUUAUCAACCGUACGCUAUACGCCUACUGGCUGUCUCAAAAACUUAGCGCCGAGCUUUAAGAUACAUUAUAUGAUACUAUGGAUGUAUUAUAUUAUACAGGGUGUCUCUAGUAACUGGGACAGGCUGUAAAACUUUGUUCCAAGUGAAGUUAAGGUAUAUUGUAUUAUAUUAUACAGGGUGCCUCUAGUAACUGGCAUAGGAUACAGAAUUCUGUUGCAAAUGAAAUGAAAAUGUAUUAUACUAUAGAUGUAUUAUAUUGUGUCAUAUAUAUUAUACUACGCUAUGGAUAUAUUAUACAAGAUAUAAUUCGUUAUAAAGGGUGUCUAUAAUAACUGGGACAGGCUAUAGGACUUUGUUGCAAGUGAAGCUAAGAUAUAUUAUACUAUAGAUAUAUUGUACUAUACAGGGUGUCUCUAGUAACUGGCACAGUUUAUAGAACUCUGUUACAAGUGAAGUUAAGAUAUAUUAUGACAUACUAUAGAUAUAUUUUAUUAUAUCAUGUAUAUCAUACUAUUUUAUAGAUAUAUUGUAUUAUACAGGGUGUCUCUAGUAACUGGCACAGGCUAUAAAACUUUGUUCCAAGCGAAGUUAAGAUAUAUUGCAUUACAUUAUACAGGGUGUUUCUAGUAACUGGUACAGGUUAUAGAACUCUGUUACAAGUGAAGUUAAGAUAUAUUAUAUCAUACUAUAGAUAUAUUCUAUUAUAUCAUGUAUAUCAUACUAUGUUAUAGAUAUAUUAUACAGGGUGUCUCUAGUAACUAGGACAGGCUAUAGAACUCCGUUGCAAGUGAAGUUAAGAUAUAUCGUAUUAUAUUAUAAGGGGUGUCUCUUCUAUCUGGGACAGGCUAUAUAGUUGGAAGCAAAGUUAGAGAAAAAUCGUAGAGGAAAACUUCCCACUGUUUAACGCGAUUUAUCGUAUUACCGUACUCGCGCGGAUGCAUCAGUACACUGCAGUUGCAGAGUGCAAAUACACUUUUUCAUUUAAACGAAACUAUAUAAUUCGCUUGUAAAGCAUUCCAUGUACUUUACCGUUCCAACGCGAUAUAAAAAUGUAUCAAGGUAAAUAGUUGGAAAAAGUAAUUACUUUGAAAGAUGUAAUUUUGUAAAACUUCGCGGAUGAGAAAGAAGGAGAAAAUCAACCUGCGAUACUUGUACCUCUGAUUCUUCUUCCUUCCAUGCGCUAAAUUUAGCGCUCUUAAAAUCGAAAUAACUUUUAAAGUGGUUUUGGCGUUUUUUGGCUCAAGUAACUUAAUAUCUUUCUGUAAACGAUAAAAACUUGCAUCGACUGCUUUAUACAUAAUUAUAAAGUUUCGUUUGAGAAAAGAAUACAGUUUCACCGGAGCAUCUGCGAGAAAAUUACUACGAUCGAGCCUGUUAAACAGUGAAAAUUUUUCCUUUUCUCUUUUCUUUGUUGCAUCCAUUAUAUUUCGUGUUUAACCGCGAUACAAGGAUCUUUGCGAUUAUUUUAUGUACAUCUACUCUUACAGUAUCUUUGAAUAAACUUAGAUGCUACUUAUCAUUUCCACGGCAAUCUCGUUUUCUUUCCGUUUUUCACGGCGCAGCAAAAUCGACGCAGCAGAACGCCGAUUUGCAAAAUUUUCCUCUACGAUCUUUCCCCAAUUUCACUUGCAACGGGGUCAUAGCCUGUCCCAGUUACUAGAAACGCUUUGUAUAGUACGUGAUAUAUAUCGUGCGUCUAAAUUCACGGUACGAGCGAAUCUCAGGCAGCUUGUCUGACUGAAAACGAUACGAGCUUCAAGAAUAACAAAACUACGCUUUAUUCUCGAGAGACUUCAGCUUGAAAACUCUUGUACCUAACUAAUUCUCGGUUAGAUAGGAAUGGAUAAUUCGUCGUUGCAGUUUUCCACUGUUCUACCUGCAUUAGUACGUAAACUGAGGAAAUCCAGUCCCGAUAGAAUAAAGUUUAUGAAGUCGAAUAUUAUCGCGUGGAGUUUGGACUUAAAACAACCGAACAUUUCUCGCUAUCCGAGCGUACAACUUCCACCGUAUUAUCACCAACGAGACGUACAUACGUGCGUCGAUUAAUAAUACUCUUUUCCUUAACCUUUCUGCCUCGAAUGCCGCUUAUAGGCGGCGCCCGCGAGAUGACCUGUGGCUACGAACGCCGCUUAUAGGCGGUGACCACGCGACGAAUUCUGAUUUCGGUACCCCAUAUAUCGGACAUACAUCAGUGCCAUCUGUAGUCAGUAAUAUAUUUUUUCGUUAUCGGCAGAACAUUUUCUGUUGAUUUUAUCGAUAUAUUGGAUUAAUCGCUUCUUAAAAGUUACUUAUUGUCGGAACAACAUCAAAACGUUUUACGCAAUAUAUUUCAAACAUCCAAACGAUCGUAUACUGUUUCGUGCUAAAAAAUCUGUUAAAUCCAUUGGCAGUGAAACGAUACUUCAUAUACGGUUCUUACAAGAAUUAUUGUUAUUUAAGACUUAGGAAAACGUAUAUACAACGACCACGCACACUGUGCGCAUUUCUGGCGCACGCUUCCGUUCAGUGACAGUACUUCGGCGAAUUGGACUGCCGAAGCGAAAGGGUUAAAAUAGUUGGAUCGGUUAAGAACUAUUAGGUUGGCAACUAAUUGAUUGCGGAUUUUAUCAUUAAGUGGUAUUGACAAAAUCCGUAAUUACAUAGUUGCCAACCCACUAUAUUUGCUCCUCUAUUUUUCAUUUCUUAUAAUCAACACAGCAGAGAACAAAUACGGAGAAUUGGAAAAUAAUCAGAUAUUUUGACACUUGCGAGUUAGGUGUGUCAAUACCACCUAGUGACAAAAUUCGCAAUCACAUAGUUGCCAACCCAAUAGAUCGACGAUGAAUUGGCAAUGGGAGGUCGCGCUACACGCGAAAGAAGGUAUGAAACGCGGAAUAAAAUUUGUUCUGACUGUCGAGAGAAACACAGCCAAUGGAUAAAAAUUAACAUCUUUCAUGGCAAAUGUUGAGACUGUCGGAUACUCUGCCGCUGUAUGCACGUACCUUCGUACGAGACUAGCCUCAGGGAAAAAAAGAGGAAAAGAAGGAACGAGAGGCGAACGAGGAAUAAGUGGAUCAACGGAAGAGCGACGGAUCGUGAGACAGAAUCGAAUAAUGGAGCGUGGAAGGUUGACAGAACGGUCGUUAAUCAAAGCGAUUAAUCGAAUGUCACGGAACACGUCCGUCGCUGAAUUCCACGGCUUAGAGAACGGUACUUGAACGGCCUGUACAUUGCACAAUACUUUCCAAUCUUCGGCCAUAAUGAGCCGCAACAACGCGCCACCUGCGAAAUGGGGCAUUUUAUCCGCGUUUCCUCUUCUCUUUUCUUUCUACAAGUGAAUCGUGACGGCAAUCCGGUGUCCUCUGUAUAUUCCUUUAGACUAUGGCCGCGUCUGCAUGACUCAAGGUUCAGCCUCGUAUCGAUUAAAAACCGAAGGAACGCACGUAAUUACGUUUGCACGCGAAAUCGAUCGAGCAUUUAUUCGAGUGUCUGCCGUGUUGUAAUAUUAAUCGAACACGUCCACGGUUCGCCAUUUUAUUCCCGCGAUCUCGUUCGAAACAAUCGCUUUGGAAAUGCAGAGGAAGACGAAUGAUUUUAUAUUGGCUUGGCAACUAAGUGAAUGCGGCUUUUUACAUUAGGUAGUAAUGACAAAAUCCGCAAUUACUUAAUUGCCAACCUAUUAUAUUUGCUCGUCUAUUUUUCAUUUUUUAUAAUCAACACACCAGAGAUAUUUUGACACUUAGGUUAGGUGUUUUUCGUCAGUUAAUCACUUAAUUGUCAAUAAGGAUUUGAAUACGCGGGUUCCAGUGUGCUUGAUAAAUUUUCAAACUCGAUUUUCUCGAGAGGUGAACCUUAAAUGAAACAAUUUUAUCGCAUAUUUUGCUGUUGUUCUUUAACGAAAUCAAGAAACAUAGAAAAGGUGGAGCGAAUCGGUCUGAUUUCUGAGAAGCUCCGUCAAUCUGCUAUCUGGUGAUAGCUUGGCCAUGAAAAAACGUAAUACACAUUACGAGGAGAAUCGUGAACAGAAUACAAGGCACACCUUGAUGCAACAUUUUUCACCAACACGGACUGUUAUGGAAAUCGUGGCACGAAGAUUUCAGCGAACUCGGCUCACCAUCAACGUCAUUCCAUUUCCUCCGUUUUCGUCGUUUCGUUUCGUUCGAACGUACUGUACUUUACAGCGUAUUGAUCUGGCAACUAAGUGAUUGCGGAUUUUGUCAAUACCAUCUAAUGACAAAAUCCGCAAUCACUUAGUUGCCAAGCCAAUGAAACACUCGCAGUUGAGCUGAAAAAUAAGCGAACAGAUAGCGGGGAAGCAGCUAUCGAUGAAAUUUAAUCUAAUUAGUAGUGUGGUUACACGACUACGUUUCAACUGCAUUUAUCGGAAAGAUACUUGGGUUAAUAGCCGAUCAAUUGAACUCGUUGUUGCUCGAAUUCUGUGAAUUCGAACGUGACCUGCAAUUGUACGAAAAAUAAUAAAUAGAUAAAUGGGAAAAAUUGGAAAGCUCCUAUUAUACGAACUCCAAUUAUACAGAGUGGUCCGUAAAUGGUGCUACAAUUGCAUUAUACAGGGUGACUGUAGGAGAAAAAAUUGCACGUAAACGUGGAAUGAAAUUCGUUGGGAGGAUAAUCGAGUUUGAGAAUUUGCCAAGUAUACUUAACGCUGGAACUAUCCGAUAGUUAACGCGAGGCUAUUUUUAUCAAAAACAGUCAAAAUGAUUGGUCUUUAAAAAGUACGUAAUGACAGAAUAUUUGUAUAUUUAUUGAUUUAGUACUUUCUUUCAGAAGAAAUUCCACGUUAUGUAGUACAUUUUUCGUAUUAUUAACGACGAUCUGUAAAAUGAUCCCUAAACGAGGGUCGACACAUUUACAAAAUUGUAGAACCAGUCGUUUUCACCGCUGUGAUAUUUCUAGCGUCAGCAUCUAGCGAUCUAGCGAUCGAUCCGCAAUUUUCCCGAUAACUGAUAUCGUCAUAUCGAACGAUACGCAGUACAAAUAUAAAAAACGUGUGGCAAGUUGUACAAAACGAGGAAACUGGUUAAUUGAGUUCGAUAAACGGAUUGCAGGACCCUUUUACACUUUGACAAGUACCAAUCAUUUUCACUGGUGUUGGUAUAAAUAGCCCUGAUACAAAAUUAUUUUCAGUUUGAAUACGUAAAAAAGAAAAUAAAAUUCAUUAUAUUAUUCUUUUAGUUAUCGUUGCGAAAAUAUAACACGAAGGAGGAAUUUUAAAAUAAAAUUGUAAAACCAGUCAAUUUGACUGUUGUGAUAGUUCUAACGUUAAACCCGGCUCAUUCCUAACCGAACGAGAGCGAAUAAUCGACAGGUGGUUGAGCUGCGCGUGAAAACAAGCGACAAAAGUAAAGUAACAUUCUUUCGUAAGAUAUCUGUUCUCUGAGCCAGAUAAAUUUGUAAAUAUCAUCUUCAUCUUCCUCAAAACGACGGCUUAAACGGACAAAUUUUAUUCUACAAUUUUUUUCACAAUUUCCAGUUAUCUUCGCACGUGUACAGGUCUCCAACCGAUUGCUUGCUCGCACCUAGUCAACUAGUUCGACCACGAUUGGUUCCAUUAUACUUGGACUAUUUUUCUUAUCUUUUUCUUUCUAUUUGGUACAAUUUUUACAAUCAAUUCUCAUUGAGAAUUAUAAGUAAAUUAUUUUGACGUGGUACUGUAACUUGGAUUGUAAGUGCUUAUAGUAUGUUUGAUUCUAGUUGGACUAUUGGAACUCGAUUUUACGGACCACCCUGUAUAAAGUGUUUGACCUGCGACAAGUUCAGACGAACGGAGUUCCACUGUACUCGAUUGGCCUCGCCUAGAUUUAUUAAAAUAUCGAGAAACGUUGAUGCGGAGGAUCCAACGGCAGAGAUCCAGCGAUCACGCGGAUCCACAUUCGGCUUUCGCCUGUCGGAAGUUCGGUUAGGCGAUGAUUCUCGAGCGAUCGAUCUUCCGAUUGCUAAAGGAAUCUCGUUGUAGAGAAAAAUAGGUCGAGCGCGUUCAAAGCCUUCUUCUUGCUUUUUUCAAUUCGAUUCGCGUCGAUUCUACUUGCAGCGAACGUAAUCCAGCGACGAUUCGAUGCUACUCACGUUCAAGUCAGAGCCACUGACCUAUUGUCAAGGUUGCAAUGGUCGUGCUAAUUGAAAGUUCGUUACACGAUGUUGAAUCGGCGCCACGUCGAAUCCCUCGGGCCAUCAGUUUACCGAAAAUUAAGGAAAACUGGCAACGUUCGCGGAUAGACGUGGCCCUGUUCCUUAAGUGGAAAGUUAAUUUUCCAGGAAAUGGAUGAAUCUCGAGGGGAAGGUUUCGCGUUACGGAACUGGCAGGAUAAAAUGGUAGAUCGUUAGUUGUGCAAUGAUUCGACGAAAUUAUCAAAAUUGAACACGUAAUUUGUGUAUCUGUGUAUUUCCUAUUUGAAUGUUCGUAUUUCCAUAUUUUCUAUGUUUCUUGUAUCUUCUAUAUCUUUUUACAUUUUCUAUAGCUGUUGUUCUAUCGUACGCUCUAUGUGUACGUAUUUCUUUCUAAGGAAGCUUUAAAUUUCAUACUUAAAAAAGUAAGAAAACUCUUUUUUUUUUUUUAUUUGGUAGACUAUUUACAAUCAAUUCUCAUUGAGAAUUAUAAGUAAAUUUUGUAUUAUAAGAAUUAUAAGUAUUUUGGCGUGGUACUGUAACUUGGAUUAUAAGAGUUUAUAGUAUGUUUGAUUCUAGCUGAAUCCAAUGCUUCGAUCUAAAGGGUAUUGUCCUUUUAGUCUGCGGAUCUGAUCCGUCGUGUCAAGUAAUUGGGUAACUAAUGGGCUUUGGUGGUUGUUAAUUCUUAUGUUAUAUCUUGUUGAGAAUUUUGCAUCUUAAUUACCGAAAUAACGGUAUAGGAACACUAAAUCUACACUUAGAAUUUAUAUUAGAACAGUUAUAUAUUUACUUGAUCAACGAUUCCAAAGAUAUUCAUCGAUACUCACUUGCACGCGUCUCACCUUCUUCCAUACCACACUGUUAACGAACAGUUUACAUUCCUCUGUUUUCGAGACGCCGCGCACACACAUACUUCCACACACUCGUAUUCACGUACGUGUAUCACCACUACGCGGUCAAUCUAGUCUAGCACAUAAAAUUACGCGUAUCUCAACAUAUCUAUUACCGAAUUUGGAUAUUUCUUCUUUAACCGUGGGUAUCUUAAGGUCGCGAUGUAUCGUUUCGUUGGUAACACACCAAGGUGCGUCUACCAAGGAUCUUAGAGUUCUCGAUUGGAAUCGUUGAAAAAUUUCUAUGCUGGAAUUACUCGCUGUUCCCCAUAGUCGGGUCCCAUAGGUCCAAACAGGUCUUAACACAACCUUAUAUAACAUUAUUUUACUCCGCACGUUUAAGUUGCUGCGUCUGCCAAUGAGCCAGUAGAAGUUUUUUAGUUUCGAUUUCAAUUGUUUGGAUCUAUCUAGGAUGGAAUCUCAGUUGACUACGAAUUUGUAGCACGUUCGAACGAGUGAUUCGACUGGCAAUCUUCGCUCUUCGCUCGUUAUUUAUAUUUUUAACUGGAAAUUCUCAGUUCGAAGUUGCAUAUAUCUAGAGAUGUAGCGUGCUAUCGUGGACGGAUUACCUGACAGAUAUCUGGUAUGUGUUGUCGACGUUGUCAUUUGUUAUUAUAUUAACAUAUCGUAGUAUCAUGGGCGAGGAGCCUGGGGGAUUAUAAACAAGCGGUUGCUGAGCAUGUACGUAGCGAGGCUAAGACAAAGGACAAGGGGUUGCUAGGGGACAAUAAACGAAUCAACAGCAGUACGAGAUGAGAAGCCAGAGAGUGCUGAUCGCGUUGUCGAGAUAGCGUUGUUAGCGUUGUCGAGAGAGAGUCGAAUCAGCGUUGACGAGACUUGUCAAUUAAUUAUCUACUUGUCUUAAUUAUAAUACGUUGUUACGAUUAGUUCACGUUAAUGAUCAUUGUUUUCUGUUUAAUUAACAUCCGUUUAAUCCAUUUAUCGUUAAUAAACUAAUCAUAACAACGUAAUAAGCAUGGUCUUCUGUUUAAUUAACAUCCGUUUAAUCCAUUUAUCAUUAAUAAACUAAUCAUAAUUAGUCACGAUACUACAGUAUAUUUAUAUAAUGAUUUUGUGAUCAGGUGGUAAUGACAAAACGCGCGAUCGUUUAAUUGCCAAGCCAAUACUUUAUUCUCCUCUGCUACUUUUCGUUAUCGUCUUUCAGCUAUCUCCGCAGCUGAGAUCAUUCGCGACGUUGGAGCACCUUCGUGGCCCUGACCUAAUCUUCUCUCUUCGCUUGGAAAAUAUCCGAAACGUAGCUACGCAGGAGCCUUAGGACUUGUUACGCGUCAUUCCUCUGAUUCCAGCCAGCCUUGGUCAAUUAACACGCGUCAUUCCUCCGAUUCCAGCCAGCCUUCGGCAAUUAACACGCGUCUCUCAUCUCCGGUCUCAUCCGAUCAAACACACGCUGCUUCUCGAAACAAUUCAACAUAGAUUUUCUGUGUUUCGUAUGCAUCGUGUGGUUUGCACCGCGCUACGAGCACAACGUGUCAUGAUUAUUCACCGGUAAUGGCCUUACUCGAUCUAAGGUCCCUCGAGGAACGUACGCUCGUCGCUGAUUUUUCUUCGCUGCACGAAACAAUCGCUGACCUUACGAGCGGUCCGCGUAUUUUUUCAUCCAUCGACAUUUAUGCGCUUAGACUUCUCGCUGGUCUUUAGGCGAACCGUUACUCUUCCAGUUUCACGAUUGCGAGCCAAAAUAUUUCCAUCUAGAUACCCUAAAUCGUGUUUGCUCUGUAGCUGACAGUUUUUCUGGCCGCAUAAAUCUUUUCUCCAGUUCAGUGAGACCCGUCGUUCCAGCGAGUCAUCUACGAGACGUUAUCUCUGUCUUGAAUUUACUGCGAACUAACUGUGCUUUUCAUAUUCCACAUUUUGCAAAAAUUUCUUUUCUUUUCCGUUUCUUUUCUAAGUGUCCGUCUUAACUGUCUGUCGUUGUAAAAUACUUAAUGCACGCUGAUGGGAUGGGU